rnacentral:lncRNA from 1 species
CUUCAAACAAGAAAAAAACCUAACUCUUCAUCUUCUCACAGAACCAAACAAAACCUCCUCUUCAUCUCACAGAUCCAAACCCAUGGCUUCUCCUAAUUGGGAUAUCUCCAUCUACGGGACAAAUGACCAUAACAACUUCCAUGUAUGUUGAAAAGUGAAGAGUUAUAUUUGUAAUUGACCCGAUCCUUAUAUGGCAUUAUCAGAAGGCGGCACUUGCUGGCCAAAACUAUUUGAAUGGGGUCUCGCCUAUAGUGAAUUUUUUUUUGCCAUGUCUUCUAGUGCCUCUUGAGUAUGAAUAUUUUCAAUUAGAUGGGGAAAAUUUUGGACGCGGCUCUGGACGAUAUAUCAACAUACACCUAUUGUAGGGCUGCUGAUAUGAAUGGCUGCUCACUUUUCAUGAUAAUAUACGUUGUGCACUUUGUUUAGUUAGGUGAUUUUCAUGUAAUUAGUAUCGUUGACCAUUAUAGAUAGUAAUUUGUAAUGUGAUAUGGCUAUUUAAUAGAAAUUUAUCCACUAACCAUUUCCCAUCUUUAGUUUUCGAAAUCCGAAUAAACGCUUCACAUCCGGUCCUUAAAUCUCUACGGCGUUUCUUAAUAUUUCCUUUAGAACUAUUACAAUUCAUGUCCGUAAAACCUUGUUUGUUGCAUACAUAUUUCUUUCGAUAAGGCUCAUUUGUUGUCUUAUUUUUAAAUGCCGAAGAAAUACGUAUUCCAAAUCCAU